rnacentral:rRNA from 1 species
UACGUAGGGGGCAAGCGUUGUCCGGAUUUAUUGGGCGUAAAGAGCGUGUAGGCGGUUUGGUAGGUCCGCUGUGAAAACUCGAGGCUCAACCUCGAGACGCCGAUGGAAACCAUCAGACUAGAGUCCGGAAGAGGAGAGUGGAAUUCCUGGUGUAGCGGUGGAAUGCGCAGAUAUCAGGAGGAACACCGGUGGCGAAGGCGGGUCUCUGGGCAGUAACUGACGCUGAGGAGCGAAAGCGUGGGGAGCGAACAGG